AUCCAACUGACGAGUCGCAAAUAGUACGAAACGUAUGUCCUAGAU
rnacentral:hammerhead_ribozyme from 1 species